rnacentral:rRNA from 1 species
AACGAACGCUGGCGGCAUGCCUAACACAUGCAAGUCGAACGAGACCUUCGGGUCUAGUGGCGCACGGGUGCGUAACGCGUGGGAAUCUGCCCUUGGGUUCGGAAUAACAGUUGGAAACGACUGCUAAUACCGGAUGAUGACGUAAGUCCAAAGAUUUAUCGCCCAAGGAUGAGCCCGCGUAGGAUUAGCUAGUUGGUGAGGUAAAGGCUCACCAAGGCGACGAUCCUUAGCUGGUCUGAGAGGAUGAUCAGCCACACUGGGACUGAGACACGGCCCAGACUCCUACGGGAGGCAGCAGUGGGGAAUAUUGGACAAUGGGCGAAAGCCUGAUCCAGCAAUGCCGCGUGAGUGAUGAAGGCCUUAGGGUUGUAAAGCUCUUUUACCCGGGAUGAUAAUGACAGUACCGGGAGAAUAAGCUCCGGCGAACUCCGU